rnacentral:rRNA from 1 species
GGACUACUGGGGUAUCUAAUCCCAUUCGCGACCCACGCUUUCGUGUUUCAGCGUCAGGAGUGGUCCAGUCUCUUGCCUUCGCUUUCGGUGUUCCCCUAGAUAUCAACGCAUUUCACCGCUACACCUAGAGUUCCAGAGACCCCUACCAUCCUCUUAGUCAUGCCGUUUCCCACGCAGCUCCCCGGUUGAGCCGGAGAAUUUAACGCGAGACUAACAUGACCGCCUACACACCCUUUACGCCCAAUGAUUCCGGAUAACGCUCGAAGCACUCGUAUUACCGCGGCUGCUGGCAC